CAGAGCCGAGUCCCUCUCCCCGCCCCAGAAGGACGCCAUCUUGCCAGCAAUUUUCCCACGCCCUCAUUUCCGGUUCCCACGGUUGGGAACCAGAAGAAAUGAGUGAGGGUGAACCGGAAGUUACUCUUUCUGCUGCACCUGUCACCUACCGCAGAAUACGUGGUGGUGACACACCAAAACCUAAUUGGCAUGCUUUUUCCCAAAGCAUCAUUCGGGAUUUAUGCAAGGCGCACAAGGAUUAUGGCAGAGAGAGUCCCUACUUCCGUGGCCUCCUCACUGCUGAUCUCGCAGGUGUUCAUGUUGUUCCUGCUGACCUCCGGCAGCUUUUUUCUUGCCUAAUGAAUGGCACAGAGUUUAAGCUCUGGGACGCAGCAUUCAAACAAGCCCUGCGAGAGGCAAUGCCUCAGUUGCCCUUCCCAGCUAUCGAUGAACAGGGCAAUCCCCUUUUCCUUGAGUUGCUUGCUGGUGAAGGUACCUAUGUUUCUCCUGAGUCCCAGGCAGCCCUAAUACCCUCGGCAGUCCUCUCCAUUAUAAAAGAUAUAGCCUGCAAGGCUUUCUUUUGUUUGCAGCCAGACGCACCAUCACCGCCCUAUACCACCAUUAGGCAGGGACCUUCUGAAUCCUUCGUUGCUUUCGUAGAGCGGCUCACCAGAGCAGUGGAGAUUCAGGUUAAGACAGAGAGUUCACGGGAAGGUAUUAUAGGGGAGCUUGUUUUUGUCAAUGCUAACGACCUGUGUAAACAGGCAAUCUUAAGUCUUCCCCUAGAUCCGCCCCGCACUCUCCAGUCCAUGCUCCAGGUGUGCCAGAUGAAGGUGCCCUUCCUUGCCCGGCGGAACCCACCACCACCCUCCCAGGCAACUUUUCCGCCCAAGACAGUGCGUGCUGCAGACACAUCCCAACAGCCCCGACAUCGUCUGCCUCAGCGGCGACCCUCCUUCAGCAAGGACACUGGACUGCCAACUGCCCUAGGAGACCUUCAAAACAGCGUUCUCCAGCUACACCUCCGGGAACGCCGGUGCCUUCCCAGGCACAGCAAAAAUCACUGAAGGGGGAGCGCGGGUCCACCCAGCGUGACAACCCCAAUCGGGUGGACCGGGCAGGGAACUCCAAAGGGGGUCAAUUGGAUGGACAUUUUAUACCGGACUUGACAUCACGUGAACUCGACAUGGAAAAACCAAUUCUCACCACCUCUUCCUUUUUUGAACCCUACAGGUUGCAUCUCACCAGACCAUUGCACCUGACGGAUAGGGAAUUUCAUUUCGUCACCAUAGACCCAAGGAAGUUGCAUCGGUGGCCAAUGACCGGCGAAGUUUUGUUUUUCAGACCCAGACCCAGGAUGCUAAGCCUCCCGACCGUGCUCUUCCUGACCAAGCUGCUAACAAUCAGUCAAGCUUGGAUCGUCCCACAGCCGCGAGCCAACGUGUGGGCUCUGCUCGCGAAAUCUAUGGGACAAGAUCACAUCUGUCUCAAUAAAGCAUCGGCCUCAGACCCGAUGUCCACAUGCCUCGUGGGGAUCCCUUUUAAACAGCUAGAAAUGCCCGAAAAACUGCUCGUUUAUGCCCGCCGUAUCAGUAAGAUCCCCCGGGUCAAUCCUUUUAUUAGCUGGAGGAAUUUUAUGUUUUCCCUGGAAAAUAUGAGAGAGGAACCCCGAGAGCUGGAGCUCCUCGGAGCGGCUAAAGCUCCAGCCUGCAUUCACAUUACCAACUCGGCCAACGCUUUAGACCACCGCACCAAGCAUGUUGUCCAAUCUAAUGUGCUGGACAGAGCCCACUUGUGGUGCGAGAGGAUGGCCAAAGGAGUUCUUCCCCCUCCAAUUUAAAACCACCCCAAAAGGUUACCUAAGGGAGUUUUUCUGAUCUGCGGAGAUCAGGCUUGGGCAGGUAUCCCCUCUUGUCUUUCCGGAGGUCCGUGCACCCUAGGAAAGGUGGGGCUAUUCACACCCAACAAAACGCAAAUUAUGGGUUGGAAAGAAAAGCAAAAGAAACAAAGUGGUGCACAUGGAUUGGCAGUCUCCAAAAGAGACCUUAAAAAAUUGGACCCGGAUUGCGACUCGGAAAUUAUUCAUUGGAGCAAAACUAAAGGGGUUGCAACACGAUUUUUGCCCCAUGGGUCUCCAUUGCUAAGGCCAUAGGGGAAUUGGGACAUUUAGAAUGUUGGGUGGCGAAACAAGCAAAUUUAACUUCCAGAACGCUAUUCAACCUCCUGCAGGACGAGGACAUAAUGAGGCAAGCCACCCUCCAAAAUCGGGCAGCCAUAGACUAUCUCUUACUUCUCCACGGUCACACAUGUGAGGAUUUUGAGGGUCUGUGUUGUUUUAAUCUGUCGACUCGGGCUAGGAGCACACGAAAACUAAUUGAGCAGAUGCAAAAUAAGAUCGGUGACAUAAAAAGAGAGACAGAUGAUUGGAUGGGCAACAUUUUUAAGAGUUGGGGCCUUUCAGGAUGGGUCGGGUCCAUUUUGAGAACAUGCCUGCUGAUUUUGUUUAUUAUUUUAAUUGUUUGUAUUGCUUUUGGACUGAUCAGGAGAUUGCUGUUUAAGUUAGUUUUAAGUUCCACAUCUGUCCCCUCUCCGGCUGCUGCUCGGGUCACCAUGGCCACGGCUCCUGAAGAAGAGUUGGAGGAGUUUGAAGAGGAGCUUGAGGAAGAAGGCGACGGCGAAAACCUCCCAUAUGAUCAGUGGCCAACUCAACAGACUUAGUUCGCCGAAUGCUACCCAGACUCCGAGCAUCUGCUGGACCCCCCUCAGUUUCGUUCAUUUUAGUAAAAAGAAAAGGGGGAGAUGUGGCAGUGUGUUAAUUUAAUCAGUUAUACUUCAUAUGUUUUCUGUACUGGUUUGGUUCUAUGUACCCUACUCCCCCUAAUUAAUAUUCCUUUGUCUCCCUCACAUGAGUUAUUUUAGCCUGCACCUGCACCUGUUAUGUGACUUUCAGUUAAGUGUCUGUCACCCUUCCCGCCUUUGUAAAUCCCCUCCUACCCUCUUCGGAUUAGUCCACGUUAUGUUUCCCUACCCCUGGGUCCCUCAGCAACUGGCCCUGGUUGGCUAGUGGUAGCCAACCACUCCCUUUGCUCCCCCCAGCUAGCCCCUGAAAAAACCCCACUGUACCCUCCUCUCCUCGGACACUUCUGGUCUAAAGAGGUGUUUCCAAUAAACCCU